GACGAACGCUGGCGGCGUGCUUAACACAUGCCAGUCGAACGGAAAGGCCCUGCUUUUGUGGGGUGCUCGAGUGGCGAACGGGUGAGUAACACGUGAGUAACCUGCCCUUGACUUUGGGAUAACUUCAGGAAACUGGGGCUAAUACCGGAUAGGAGCUCCUGCUGCAUGGUGGGGGUUGGAAAGUUUCGGCGGUUGGGGAUGGACUCGCGGCUUAUCAGCUUGUUGGUGGGGUAGUGGCUUACCAAGGCUUUGACGGGUAGCCGGCCUGAGAGGGUGACCGGCCACAUUGGGACUGAGAUACGGCCCAGACUCCUACGGGAGGCAGCAGUGGGAAUAUUGCACAAAGGGGGGAAGCCCGAUGCAGCAACGCCGGGGGCGGGAAUGCGGGCUUCGGGGUGGAAACCGCUUUCGCCUGGGACGGAGCGGGGGUGACGGGAAUGGGUAAAGAAGCACCGGCUAACUACGUG
rnacentral:rRNA from 1 species